GGCGUGGUAGUGUAGUGGUCAACACGUCGGUUCCCCAAUCCGAAGGCACGAGUUCGAAUCUUGUCCGCGCCA
rnacentral:tRNA from 1 species